UAGGGAAUAUUAGAAAUGGACGAAAGUCUGAUCUAGCAACACCGCGUGUGCGAAGAAGGCCUUUGGGUCGUAAAGCACUUUUUGGAAGGAAUAGGAAGGAAUGUACUUCCAGAAUAAGUCUCGGCUAACUACGUGCCAGCAGCCGCGGUAACACGUAGGAGGCAAACGUUAUCCGGAUUUACUGGGCGUAAAGCGCGUGUAGGUGGUACUGUAAGUAGGGCGUGAAAGCUCCUGGCUCAACUGGGAGAGGCCGUUCUAAACUACAGAACUAGAGGAUGGUAGAGGGAGGUGGAAUUCCAGGUGUAGCGGUGGAAUGAGCAGAUAUCUGGAGGAACACCGGUGGCGAAGGCGGCCUCCUGGACCAUCCUGACACUCAGACGCGAAAGCUAGGGUAGCAAACGG
rnacentral:rRNA from 1 species